rnacentral:rRNA from 1 species
ACUGAACGCUGGCGGCAGGCUUAACACAUGCAAGUCGAGCGGAGUGAUGGUGCUUGCACUAUCACUUAGCGGCGGACGGGUGAGUAAUGCUUAGGAAUCUGCCUAUUAGUGGGGGACAACAUCUCGAAAGGGAUGCUAAUACCGCAUACGUCCUACGGGUGAAAGCAGGGGAUCACUUGUGACCUUGCGCUAAUAGAUGAGCCUAAGUCGGAUUAGCUAGUUGGCGGGGUAAAGGCCUACCAAGGCGACGAUCUGUAGCGGGUCUGAGAGGAUGAUCCGCCACACUGGAACUGAGACACGGCCCAGACUCCUACGGGAGGCAGCAGUGGGGAAUAUUGGACAAUGGGGGGAACCCUGAUCCAGCCAUGCCGCGUGUGUGAAGAAGGCCUUAUGGUUGUAAAGCACUUUAAGCGAGGAGGAGGCUCUUUUGGUUAAUACCCAAGAUGAGUGGACGUUACUCGCAGAAUAAGCACCGGCUAACUCUGUGCCAGCAGCCGCGGUAA